AUUGAACGCUGGCGGCAGGCCUAACACAUGCAAGUCGAGCGGAUGAAGGGAGCUUGCUCCUGGAUUCAGCGGCGGACGGGUGAGUAAUGCCUAGGAAUCUGCCUGGUAGUGGGGGAUAACGUCCGGAAACGGGCGCUAAUACCGCAUACGUCCUGAGGGAGAAAGUGGGGGAUCUUCGGACCUCACGCUAUCAGAUGAGCCUAGGUCGGAUUAGCUAGUUGGUGGGGUAAAGGCCUACUAAGGCGACGAUCCGUAACUGGUCUGAGAGGAUGAUCAGUCACACUGGAGCUGAGACACGGUCCAGACUCCUACGGGAGGCAGCAGUGGGGAAUAUUGGACAAUGGGCGAAAGCCUGAUCCAGCCAUGCCGCGUGUGUGAAGAAGGUCUUCGGAUUGUAAAGCACUUUAAGUUGGGAGGAAGGGCAGUAAGUUAAUACCUUGCUGUUUUGACGUUACCAACAGAAUAAGCACCGGCUAACUUCGUG
rnacentral:rRNA from 1 species